rnacentral:rRNA from 1 species
UAGGGAUUCUUCCGCAAUGGACGAAAGUCUGACGGAGCAACGCCGCGUGAGUGAAGAAGGAUUUCGGUUCGUAAAACUCUGUUGUUAGGGAAGAAAAAAUGUAUAGUAACUAUAUACAAAAGAGACGGUACCUAACCAGAAAGCCACGGCUAACUACGUGCCAGCAGCCGCGGUAAUACGUAGGUGGCAAGCGUUGUCCGGAAUUAUUGGGCGUAAAGCGCGCGCAGGUGGUUUAGAAAGUCUGAUGUGAAAGCCCACGGCUCAACCGUGGAGGGUCAUUGGAAACUAAUAAACUUGAGUGCAGGAGAGAAAGGUGGAAUUCCUAGUGUAGCGGGGAAAUGCGUAGAGAUUAGGGGGAACACCGGUGGCGAAAGCGGCUUUUUGGCCUGCAACUGACUCUGAGGCGCGAAAGCGUGGGGAGCAAACAGG